AAAUAUGACGUGUAUCAGUGUACAAGCCCACUAUAAUCGAAUAUGUUCUAACGAUUCUGCCUUUUUUAUUGAGAAAUAAUUAAGGCGGCGAUCUUACAGAAUCGUUAACACAUCGGGCAAAAUGCUUAGCGGCAUUUCGUCCGUCUGCACAUUCGGAGUUCAAAUUUCGCCGAGGUCGACUUUGCCUUACAUUUUUCGGAAAUCGAUAAAAUAAGUACCAGUUGAACAAUGGGGUCGAUGUAAUCGACUCAUCCCCUCCACCAAAACUGCUGCCCUUGGUAGCAAAAUUUGAAACCAUUAUUGAGAAAGAAUUAACGACAGACGAUGGCAUACAACGUGGUCUUUCAUUCGCUCGUCCAGUUUUGUUCUUGGAGAGUAACUUGACCAACAGAGUUAUCCCCCCUUAAGGUAUGACAGGGUCAACAAAGAAUGGUGCCAUUCUUCAGCUGAACACAUGGAACAGUAAAUAUGGUUAAAUCCGUCAAUGUCAUUUGCCAGGACCUUUAUGACUGGAGGCAGGAAAUUAUCCCACACUGCAGAGAGACCUGGUCCAGAGGCUUACAAAGGAGUGGACUCUGAUAAAGGAGUCCAAAACGGGGCAAGUAUUACAGUGGACAAGAGAUUAACUCUUUAGCAUUUAAACAGGCCAUAUCCAGCCCAAAUAUUCUGUCUUAUGUUCAAGCCAGGCAUAUCUGGCCUCUCACACCUACCCUACAAUGUCUUCCCGAAAAUAUACAAUCACAUUAUUGUAAUUUCACAGCUACAAGAUAAUGCAUGAUUAAUUAGAAACAAGGUGAACAAAUUAGCAUUAUAUUUGACAGAGUAAUCUAAAUGCUAACGGAACAAUCUACCACCCUAGAAAUAGGAAUACUCCCACAGACAGGCUCGUAAGGCAACAAUUGAAGCCACUUGCCCAAGUGAGUGAAUUUAGAACCAUGUGGUUGCAAAGUGAAUUUCUCAAUGACACAGCUAUGCUUGCCCCCGGUUAGUAUAUAUAUAUAUAGCAACAACACUAUCCUGUGAAUAUCAAUAUUACUUCAAUAUAGAUCUUAUUUGAACAAAAACAAAAUACACUUAUCACAAAUAAGGACUCGCUUUAUUACAGUUUAUUAAUCUAUGGAUGGACAGAAGUGAAUUCCAUUCAAAUAUUGUUACAUGUUGCUUAUCACAUUACAACACCAAAACUCAAAGUUACUGUUUCAAUCUUCACAUGAGUGCUCAACUGUUUUUUUUUUUUAAACUGUUCAUACAGAGAUUUUGUAAGCGAUGUGACCUACAUGAUCAUUCCUCCAUAUCAAAUCGUAGAUCAAAGUAGGUGUGGUGACAAUAGCAAAGAACUGGCUGUUGAUUGAUUGUCACAUAUUUGUGUUGAACUGUGAACAACAACAACAACAAUUAUAGGCAGAGAGGACUUCACAGUUAUCCCACCUCUUCCUGCUUACUUCUGCUAUAAAACAAUUUUACUGCAACCCAAAAAUCACAGCUUUUUACCUGAUUUUAUUGUCAAAACAAAAGGUAGAAAUGAAUUUUGAAAUUCUCCACCCCAUCACAAACAGCUUACCUAAAAUUUGAAAUUUCAAAUUCACACACACACACAUACAAACUAAAACAAAAAAUAAAUAAAAAUAAAAAGCAAAAUAUAUAAACAAAUGUUGUUAUGUAUUAAAAUAAUCAAACAUCUGAA